CGACGUGGAUAACCUGCCUCACACAGGGGGAUAACAGUUAGAAAUGACUGCUAAUACCGCAUAAGCGCACGGCAUCGCAUGAUGCAGUGUGAAAAACUCCGGUGGUGUGAGAUGGAUCCGCGUCUGAUUAGGUAGUUGGUGGGGUAACGGCCUACCAAGCCGACGAUCAGUAGCCGACCUGAGAGGGCGACCGGCCACAUUGGGACUGAGACACGGCCCAA
rnacentral:rRNA from 1 species